rnacentral:rRNA from 1 species
CCUACGGGGGGCAGCAGUCGAGAAUCAUUCACAAUGGGGGAAACCCUGAUGGUGCGACGCCGCGUGGGGGAAUGAAGGUCUUCGGAUUGUAAACCCCGUUCAUGUGGGAGCAAAUUAAAAAGAUAGUACCACAAGAGGAAGAGACGGCUAACUCUGUGCCAGCAGCCGCGGUAAUACAGAGGUCUCAAGCGUUGUUCGUAAUCACUGGGCGUAAAGCGUGCGUAGGCUGUUUCGUAAGUCGUGUGUGAAAGGCGCGGGCUCAACCCGCGGACGGCACAUGAUACUGCGAGACUAGAGUACUGGAGGGGGAACAGGAAUUCUGGGUGUAGCAGUGAAAUGCGUAGAUAUCGGGAGGAACACUGGUGGCGAAGGCGGGUUCCUGGACAUUAACUGACGCUGAGGCACGAAGGCCAGGGGAGCGAAAGGGAUUAGAUACCCGAGUAGUC